rnacentral:lncRNA from 1 species
GAGGACGUAUGGAAGUGUUUAGGGUUGAUGGGUGGUGCGGCUAGGGUGGUUUUGUGGCAGAAAUUUGGGUGAAUGGUGGUAGAAUGGGGCUGUUGAAGAUGGAGUUCAGUUUCUGGCGUGAAUGGUGAGUUUCUGGAUGAAUGGGGAUGUUUGUGGCUGCACAAACAUGUUUAUUUAAAGGGAUUAGGAAAUUAAAAACCCUAGGCUAAUUAGGUAAACAGAAAUUUUUAAGUCAAAGGCUUCUAAAAAUAGGAAAUCAAAUCAAGAAUUAAAGGAAAUUAGGCAAGGGAAAUUCGGCUAGGGUUUAAAACACAAAAGGAAAGUGUUUUAAAGCUUAGAAUUAGGAAAUAAUCCUCUCCCUUGCACGGCAAGGAAGAGGAAAUACCAAGGGGGGUGCGGCAAGGGUUCAAAAAGGUGCAAGAGAUGUGUAUUUGAUGUCCUAAAAUGCUUAGGAAGUCUUCAUAAUUGCUGGAACUUUUAGGGAUAUUUAGGAAAAAUCAAACCAAAGUAGGAAACUUUGGCUUAACUUUCCUAUUUCAAGUAGGAAUCCUUGUUGGAGUAGGAAUCCUUGUUCUUCUAGGAAUCCAUCUUCCAUUAGGAAUCCUUCUUGGAGUAGGAAUCCUUCGUCGAUUAGGAAUCCUUCUUCAAUUAGGAAUCCUUCUUCAAUUAGGAAUCCUUCUUCAAUUAAGAAUCCUUCGUUGAUUAGGAAUCCUAAUUUCUUCAAGUCUUCAAUUCAUCCAUUCCUUUUGCUCCAAAAGGCUCCAAAUUACAUCAUUUUGCACACUUCGGCUUUGGAAUCUGAAAACACACAAAAGUAACUUUAAACACUAAAAUAGCUAACGAAACAUAACAUAAAUGCACGAGAACAAGCCAAUUAAGUCGCAUAAAUAUGCUCCUAUCAAAUUCCCCCACACUUAGCUUUUGCUAGUCCUCGAGCAAAACAAAGAAAUAAAACGAAACCAAACAAAUAAAACAUAACCUAAACCUUCCAACAUUUGCCUCAGGGAUUUCCAAUGCACAUGACAUGUUAAAAAUCGUUAUUCCCCACAGAUUUUAGUCAUCUUUACACUUAAGCACAUACUUAAUCGUAGUCACUACUUACUAGUUCACAAUUAAUCAAUUAAAACAAUGUUUUUGAUGUAGUAACAUGCCUUAGAGAAUUCGCUCAAUUCCUUACAAGAUAUGCACUCAAUUUUCACUCAGAUUUUCUAACUACACACCCUAUACUAGUUAUAUGUGAGAAGAUUGAUGUAGAUAUGAAAACGAAUGCUCACAUAUAUGUAUAACAAAGAACGCAAUUUCUGGAGUUAAUAAGCAUGUUUAGAUAUGAUCUCAUGAAUGGAAUGCUACUACUUAGAUGCGAGAACCAGUGACACCAUAUGCUCAUACCAAAUUCAAACUCCACAAAUUGAAACACAUAACACUCAAGAUUGAAGUCAAGGGUUGUAACGGGGCUUGGGGUGUUGGCUAACAAAUGAAGGAUAGGGAUAACAAACGUUCUUAGAACAUUAGCAAGCAAAGUAAUGAAAUUGAAACUUAGAAUUCACUUAGAUUGCAGAAAUCAACUUUUAAACACGAAGGGAAGAUUCAAGCAAAAUUUAGGGCCGAAUUCAAAGUUUUGGACCCUUUCUUCAACAAACACUACUUUGGGACUCUUUUUCACAUCUUUUCAACUCCUUUUCAUUCAUUUCACACACUUUUUCUUUUUCUUUUUCUUUUUCUACGAAUUUCAUUUUUUUUUUCUUUUUUUUUUCUUGCCGUGUUCUAUGGCACCCAAAAUACCGAAAUUGAAACCUUUCCCCCACACUUGUUUUCUACCAUAUAUAAAUCAAAAGGAAUUCAAUUUGAAUUAUGCUUUACUAUGCUUCAAGAACAAGGGUAAUGAUGGUCCUAAUCUAGGCUAGGUGAGGAUAACGUGGGUUAACAAAGAAUGAAGGCUAACAAGGCUUGACAGGGUUAAACUUAAAAAUAAAAUGAUAUCGGAUACACGGCAAUUUGGCUUUGGUGGUGGUAACUACACAACUUCAUCUUGAAUAUGUGUUAUGCAAAUCAAUAACAUGCUUGGAAUGAAAUGGGGAUGAGUUCUAGCAUUUGGAACUAAAUGAUGAAACACCUUCUAAGUAGUAACCAAGCAAGGAAUAAUGAGAUCAUGCAACGACUUAGAAAACAAUAAUGCACAGAUUUUAACUCUCCAAAUAAACGUUUAGGCUCAAGUCUCACAAGGUUGUAGCGUUAGUUUGAGUUCCUUCCUUCAAGCAUGUUACAAAAACUAAUUUUUUUUUUCUUUAUGAUUGCAUGUGAAUUCAUAAGCUAUAACCACAACCAAUCAUAAGCAAAGAGUAAUUCACACUUUCAUCCAUGUUAAUAACUCUUCUUUAACAGCCAUGCAAUUACAAAACCGAAUCCUCAUCAUUGUGUUGGAAGGUACCCUGGACACAAACACACAAAAACGACUCAAAACACUCUUUUUAGGCUUUUCAAAACACUUUUUUUCAAAUUUUUAUGUGAUUUUCGGAGUUUUAUGUCAACACACACUAAAACACACCAAAACUGCUUAAAAACACUUAAAAAUAGCAAGGAACAAGUCUAUAAGUAAUGGGUGAUAAAAUCCCACGAAUUUGCAUAAAAAACACUUAGUUACCCCCCCCCCCACACUUAAAUCAAACAUUGUCCUCAAUGUUUCAAGCAUAAAAUCACACAAAUAAAAGUAAACACAUAAACAGCAACUAAACAAAUAAACUGGCAGAUUAGAAAGAAUCAACAAAGAGAAGGGUUUGAGGAACGCAAAUCUGGAAUUGGAGUGAUUCCUAAGUCUUCCUUUGUUGAAUGCAUGGGUUGCCUCCCACGUAGCGCUUGCUUUAACGUCUUGCAGCCGGACGAUACUUCUCUUUAAGCUCCCGUAGGUCCCAUAGCAUGGAAUUGAUCCUUGAACGGAAGGUGAUACUUGAAGUGAUCCGGCAAUGGUUUAAAUUCGAGAGUGGGUUCCUGAAUUAUUAACAACAUGUAAGUAUAAAACGUAAUGGAAAUUGGAGAAGGUGACUUACUUGCUUUGUCCGACAAGAACUUAAUGACAAACACCACUUCUUUGAAAGUUUUAGGGACUUUGAAUUUGGCCAGAUUUACUACGAUGGUUGUGAUUUGUCCCGUGUCAUCAAAUUCAACUUCUUUGGGGAUGGUUGUCUCAAGUACAUGCUCUUUGAUGAAUUCUAGAUACUCCCCAACCACUUUCUUCUCUUGAAUCCUUCUUCUUGGUGUACAAUUCUCUUCAGGGAUUUCAACACAAUCUGGAACUUGUUUUGGUGUACCAAGAAUUGGGAUAUCACUUUGCACCUUGGGAAGGGCUUCCACGAUGUCUUUUUCACUCUCUUCUUCCUUGGGAAUAAAAAACCUACGAGGAAAAGGGACAUUUGGUGGAAUGGGGAAAGAAAGAAUUGAAUUUGGAACCAACUUACCUGAGUUGGACGGCAUAGGGACUCUAGGAGGCUGCGGCAAGGGUUGUUCUACCCUUGCCGUGGGUGUGUCUUCUUCCUCCUCCUCAAUUAGUAGAUGUUCGUCCUCCUCUUGGCUUUGUUUGGACGCCCUUGGUUCAGCGCCGACCUCCAUGGCACUUCCCAAAGUGAUGGCUUUAGUAAUUUCAAAAUCUUCCAUUGAAUUUACAAUGUUUGCGUUGGAGAAUUCACUUUGUUCUUGAAUUUGUGCCAUGAACUCCACAAUCUGCCCAACGUGCUUCUCUAAUUCAUCCAUCUUGUUGGCCUGAUUUUCUCCUUCAUGUGUCAAAGAGGUGAGUAAUUGAACAAUUUGGUCAUUAUCCAUUGACGUACCUGACUUUGUUUGGGAAGAUUGUGGUGGUGCAUAUGGCCACUGAUAGAACUCCUCAGAUGGCUGCGAGCAUUCUUCUUGUUGUGAGCCCUGCGUCAAAGAGGUUAGUACAUCAAGAAUUUCAUCAUAACUCAUGGGCAUACUUGAAUUCGAUUGGAUUUGUUGUGGGGGAGGUGGUGGUGGCUGCAAAGGCGUGGUGUAAAACUCCUCAUAUGGCUGCCAAUAUGCAUCUUGUUGAGCCUCCUUGGCUUGAUUUUGUGAGCCCUGCACCAAAGAAUUUAAUUCGUUAAUUUGAUUAUAAUCUAUUGACGAACCUGAGUUUGAUUGAGCAUAGUGCAUAUGUCUUGAAUAGAACUCCUCAUAUGGCUGCCAAUAUCCUUCGUGUUGAGCUUGUUGAGAUUCCCACCACAUAGAAGUUGAAUGAUCACUCCAAUCUCUUUGUGGACAUUGAUUGGCUUGAUAUCCUUGCCCAUAAGACGCACCAAAUGUAGGGACACUUUGCAUUGUGGUCCUUUCGGCAUACUGCGACAAUUGAGAAGUAAGAUUUGCCAAUUGAGCUUCAAUGCUACCAAAAUCCAUGUCCUACUUCUCUAGUACCUAAAAUCAAAGAAACAAAACUAUAUCAAAUAUCAAAAGUAAAUAAAACAAAGCAAAACAAAAUCAGUAACUAAGAUAGAAAACAAACGAAAAUAAAAAUAAAAAGAAACAACGAGGGAUUAGCAAAAUUGCUAAUCCCCGGCAACGGCGCCAAAAUUUGAUGCGUAAAAUAACUAAACACACAAAUUAAACCCUCUUGUUGACAAAUGUAGUAUGGAUAAGUAGGGAUCGUUCUUAAACCGGGGAUUAGGAGGGAUUGCUAAAACACUCUAAACUGACUCAAAUCUGUAAAACAAAGUUUAAAAUACUAAACUAGACUCAAAGAAUGCAAAACUAAAAUCUAAAAUACUAAGACAAACCAAAAGACUCAAAACAGCAAACAAACACUCAAAAUUGCCUAAAAACCACUUUCUGGGCAGUUUUGGGACUCUAACACAACUUGGACGAAUUUUGGUUUCCUAAUGACCUAAAACACCUAAAAACAUAUUCUAAGACAAGUUCUAAGUAAUAUGACUUAAAGGAAUAAGGUGGGAUUGAUUUUGGACGAAAAUAAUUAAAUGGGCAGAUUGAAAAAGAAAACAGAUUGUAAGACAAAAUUGUGAUGAAUCAAUGGAUGAUGGAAUGGCUAAGGGGUUAUUCUCCACACAUGAAAUAUAUGCAAUGUAAAUCAAUUUCCAGUUAUCAAUUUAAUAAGUUGUGAACCUCGACACUCCAAGUUAAUUAGGUCCGCUUAAAUUAACCCUCAGAUUUCCCUAGAAUCAUUGAAUUGGAUGAAUAUGCAUCGCAAACAAAUUAUUCCUAACAAGUUCUCUAUAUGAACAACAUGAUAAAGAUACAAGUUAGAAUCAUUACGUUCUUUGGAAAUCAUAAGCAUCGACAAGGCAUUUGUAACUAUGAAAAGCAUGAUACUCUUGCCAGGAAUCUACUUAACACGAUCGUGACUAGUGACCUUCACUACUUGCGAAUAUAAAUUCAUAACGAUUAGGUGAAACAAACUUAUAUCCUAGCAUCAAAUUCAAGCAUGCAAAUUAAGCGUGCACUCUCAAUCAACAUACAAGAAUAAGUUCUAAAUCAAACGGUUAAGCAAAUUGUAUUCACGACUUAUGCAACGAUAACUGAAAGUAAUCAACUUAUUUCACAUAUCUAAUCAUGGUUUUGAAUCCACCCUUAGCCAAAACGAAUUUAGCCAAUCAUACUCAAUGCAAAACAAAGAUUACAUGAAUUAGACAUUGAAAUAUAAGAUAGAAUACACCUAAAAUUGUUCAACAACUCAGAAUGAAGAGCCAAACAAUUGAGUGAAUCUGUCCCCUUUCCUUGCUUGCGGCAGAUUGGAUGUUGGUGGUUCCUGGGCUGUUUUGAUGAUGUAGAAUGGAUGGAGGACGUAUGGAAGUGUUUAGGGUUGAUGGGUGGUGCGGCUAGGGUGGUUUUGUGGCAGAAAUUUGGGUGAAUGGUGGUAGAAUGGGGCUGUUGAAGAUGGAGUUCAGUUUCUGGCGUGAAUGGUGAGUUUCUGGAUGAAUGGGGAUGUUUGUGGCUGCACAAACAUGUUUAUUUAAAGGGAUUAGGAAAUUAAAAACCCUAGGCUAAUUAGGUAAACAGAAAUUUAAGUCAAAGGCUUCUAAAAAUAGGAAAUCAAAUCAAGAAUUAAAGGAAAUUAGGCAAGGGAAAUUCGGCUAGGGUUUAAAACACAAAAGGAAAGUGUUUUAAAGCUUAGAAUUAGGAAAUAAUCCUCUCCCUUGCACGGCAAGGAAGAGGAAAUACCAAGGGGGGUGCGGCAAGGGUUCAAAAGGUGCAAGAGAUGUGUAUUUGAUGUCCUAAAAUGCUUAGGAAGUCUUCAUAAUUGCUGGAACUUUUAGGGAUAUUUAGGAAAAAUCAAACCAAAGUAGGAAACUUUGGCUUAACUUUCCUAUUUCAAGUAGGAAUCCUUGUUGGAGUAGGAAUCCUUGUUCUUCUAGGAAUCCAUCUUCCAUUAGGAAUCCUUCUUGGAGUAGGAAUCCUUCGUCGAUUAGGAAUCCUUCUUCAAUUAGGAAUCCUUCUUCAAUUAAGAAUCCUUCGUUGAUUAGGAAUCCUAAUUUCUUCAAGUCUUCAAUUCAUCCAUUCCUUUUGCUCCAAAAGGCUCCAAAUUACAUCAUUUUGCGCACUUCGGCUUUGGAAUCUGAAAACACACAAAAGUAACUUUAAACACUAAAAUAGCUAACGAAACAUAACAUAAAUGCACGAGAACAAGCCAAUUAAGUCGCAUGAAUAUGCUCCUAUCAUUAGGGUACCUUCCAACACAAUGAUGAGGAUUUGGUUUUGAAUUGCAUGACUGUUAAAGAAAGUUACAAACAUGGGUGGAAGUUUGAUAUGCUCUUUGGUUAAUACUUAGUUGUAGUUGUCAUUAACAAAUUCAAAUGUAAUCACAAAGGAAAAAAAAAAUCAGUUUUUGUAACAUGCUUGAAUGAAGGAACUCAAACUAACGCUAUAACCCUAUGAGACUUGAGCCUAUUCUUUGUUUGGAGAGAUAAUAAUAUGUGAUAUUCUUGAAGGAAAUUUUGUGAAAAACAUGUUCAUUUGAGCAAUAUCUAUAUAGCAUGCAAUUAACAAUUAAAGGCGGAAUCAUGCUUGUAUGCACUCAAAACAAAACAUUACCCAUGAAAUUCAAAGCCUAGUAGUUAGGUGAACCAAGAC